AGAGUUUGAUCCUGGCUCAGGACGAACGCUGGCGGCGUGCCUAACACAUGCAAGUCGAACGGAGCAAAGCCCUUCGGGACUUUACUUAGUGGCGAACGGGUGAGUAACGCGUGAGGAACCUGCCUUCCAGUGGGGGACAACAGUUGGAAACGACUGCUAAUACCGCAUGAUGCUUUUGAGGGACAUCCCUUAAAAGCCAAAGCUUUAUGUGCUGGAAGAUGGCCUCGCGUCUGAUUAGCUAGUUGGCGGGGUAACGGCCCACCAAGGCGACGAUCAGUAGCCGGACUGAGAGGUUGAACGGCCACAUUGGGACUGAGAUACGGCCCAGACUCCUACGGGAGGCAGCAGUGGGGAAUAUUGGGCAAUGGGCGAAAGCCUGACCCAGCAACGCCGCGUGAAGGAAGAAGGCCUUCGGGUUGUAAACUUCUUUUACCAGGGACGAAGGACGUGACGGUACCUGGAGAAAAAGCAACGGCUAACUACGUGCCAGCAGCCGCGGUAAUACGUAGGUUGCAAGCGUUGUCCGGAUUUACUGGGUGUAAAGGGCGUGUAGGCGGAGAUGCAAGUUAGGAGUGAAAUCUAUGGGCUCAACCCAUAAACUGCUUCUAAAACUGUAUCCCUUGAGUAUCGGAGAGGCAAGCGGAAUUCCUAGUGUAGCGGUGAAAUGCGUAGAUAUUAGGAGGAACACCAGUGGCGAAGGCGGCUUGCUGGACGACAACUGACGCUGAGGCGCGAAAGCGUGGGGAGCAAACAGGAUUAGAUACCCUGGUAGUCCACGCUGUAAACGAUGAAUACUAGGUGUGGGGGGACUGACCCCUUCCGUGCCGCAGUUAACACAAUAAGUAUUCCACCUGGGGAGUACGACCGCAAGGUUGAAACUCAAAGGAAUUGACGGGGGCCCGCACAAGCAGUGGAUUAUGUGGUUUAAUUCGACGCAACGCGAAGAACCUUACCAGGACUUGACAUCCAACUAACGAAGUAGAGAUACAUUAGGUGCCCUUCGGGGAAAGUUGAGACAGGUGGUGCAUGGUUGUCGUCAGCUCGUGUCGUGAGAUGUUGGGUUAAGU
rnacentral:rRNA from 1 species